rnacentral:lncRNA from 1 species
AUGAAGACAUGGAGCCCAGAAGGAAUAAAAACUUCCUGUGGUCAAUGGAACUGGACCAUGUGGUGCUGGAGAGGCCAUCGCACUGACUGGCAAGAGAAGACCUGUUUCAUGGUGGUCCACAGAGCAAUUUCCCUGGCUUCACUCAAGGCUAACUCUCCUCCAGCAAAACACCCCUCUUCUCCUCCCACAGAUGAAGCAGGAACAGAAGGACCUAUUGACCUCAUCCUGUUCUCCAGGCUGCAAGUGAGAAAUGGGGUUCUCAGACUUGAAGAAGCCUCAGUGUGGGUAGAGGCAGCUGGGGCCUGA